GCGGAUAUGGCGGAAUUGGUAGACGCGCUAGCUUCAGGUGCUAGUGACUUCACGGUCGUGGGGGUUCGAGUCCCUUUAUCCGCACCA
rnacentral:tRNA from 1 species